AAUAAAGUGCUGGGGAGCUAGCCGUAAGCUGGCUGAGAGGGAGUUGGAGGACUCCGACCCAUAACCUGAUGCGGAUAAUACCGACGUAGGAAGACAACGUAUAUGAGUAG
rnacentral:ncRNA from 2 species